ACUUACGGGGGGCAGCAGUAGGGAAUCUUCCACAAUGGACGAAAGUCUGAUGGAGCAACGCCGCGUGAGUGAAGAAGGGUUUCGGCUCGUAAAGCUCUGUUGGUAGUGAAGAAGGAUAGAGGGAGUAACUGGCCUUUAUUUGACGGUAAUUACUUAGAAAAUCACGGCUAACUACGUGCCAGCAGCCGCGGUAAUACGUAGGUGGCAAGCGUUGUCCGGAUUUAUUGGGCGUAAAGCGAGUGCAGGCGGGUCAAUUAAGAUUAUGUGGAAACCCUUCG
rnacentral:rRNA from 1 species